CCUACGGGUGGCAGCAGUGAGGAAUAUUGGUCAAUGGACGAAAGUCUGAACCAGCCAUGUAGCGUGCAGGAUGACUGCUCUAUGAGUUGUAAACUGCUUUUAUAUUAGGGUAAACACCCCUACGUGUACGGGCUUGAAAGUAUAAUAUGAAUAAGGAUCGGCUAACUCCGUGCCAGCAGCCGCGGUAAUACGGAGGAUCCAAGCGUUAUCCGGAUUUAUUGGGUUUAAAGGGUGCGUAGGCGGUUUGAUAAGUUAGAGGUGAAAGUCCGGUGCUCAACCCCGGAACUGCCUCUAAUACUGUUGGACUAGAGAGUAGUUGCGGUAGGCGGAAUGUAUGGUGUAGCGGUGAAAUGCUUAGAGAUCAUACAGAACACCGAUUGCGAAGGCAGCUUACCAAACUAUAUCUGACGUUGAGGCACGAAAGCGUGGGUAGCAAACAGGAUUAGAUACCCGAGUAGUC
rnacentral:rRNA from 1 species